rnacentral:tRNA from 1 species
GAAGGUAUAGCUCAGUGGUAGAGUGCAUGCCUAGCAUGCACAAGAUCCUGGGUUCAAUCCCCAUACCUCCA